UACAGAGGUCCCAAGCGUUGUUCGGAUUCAUUGGGCGUAAAGGGUGCGUAGGCGGCGCGGUAAGUCGGGUGUGAAAUCUCGGGGCUUAACUCCGAAACUGCAUUCGAUACUGCCGUGCUUGAGGACUGGAGAGGAGACUGGAAUUUACGGUGUAGCGGUGAAAUGCGUAGAUAUCGUAAGGAAGACCAGUGGCGAUGGCGGGUCUCUGGACAGUUCCUGACGCUGAGGCACGAAGGCCAGGGGAGCAAACGGG
rnacentral:rRNA from 1 species